UGUCAUUGUCUCUGUCUGUCCCACGUCUUCGAUCCCAAUCAUGGUUUGUUUCCAGUUUUAGGUUUAUUCAAGUGUUUCUUUGUUACUUUGGCUAUCUGUUGUGGGACUUUGUUUAGUUUGCUUUUUCCAUGUACAUUGUUUGCCUUUUUUUGGGAAAUUAAAUAUCAUUUUUGGAGACUCCUGCACUUCUGCCUUGCCUCCCUGCACUUGGGUCCUCCCUGUUUUUGCCUUGCCUUAAAAAAAACCUAAUCAUGACAGACUAAACUGACCAGAACAGGACCCAGCGGGAAGAAAACUGUGUCACCCUGCACUCCACCAGUCUGCCUCUCAGCGCCCUCAGGCUGUCAACCAUACCUACCCUCCUCCAAUUCAGAUUUUUCCGAUUGUGAAGAUGGCCCCGAUUUAGUUGACCUCCUGCCUGAUUCCGACUGACACAGAUUUAGAUUUUUUUUCCAAUUCCUUCCUGAGUUUUUCCCCAUCCUAGUCAGUUUUUGUCACGUCACUCCUUUUCCAACCCCUGUGAGUCAAAGCCCAAGUCCUUUCCCACUGACAUUUACUUGGGCACCAGUUUGGCCAUCUAUCCAGGACCGCCGCGUGGUGGCCAACCGAGGCGCCAAAGUAAAGACAUAAACCACCACGAGUACGGACGCAGACAUGGCUGUUUAUGGCAACGCUGCCAUCUACCUUCGCAAACCAAAGAGGGAGAGAAAUGAGGUUCAGAGCAAAACAUUCGAUGCCAAGACAGCCUGCUAUGUGGCCGUACUUGAAGGGAACAAUCGUCAAGAAAGAUGGUGGGAAAGUCACCAUCAAAUUCCUGGACACUGAGGAGGAGAGGACAGCUAAAGAAGACGUCUGUCCAAUAAACCCUCCCAAGUUAAUAAGUUGUAAUAGUUACAGUUAGUAUAAUCUCAAAGAGCGUUGCUGCAUGGAUGAUCUAUGUAAGACAAUCUGCCAAAUGAGUAGCAAAAGAGCAUAUACAGGACAGUGUCGAUUAAUGUAUAUUUUAAGACAUACAGUAGGCUUAUAGUUAACAGUUUCAUACAUGUGAUCUCUCUCACACCUACUCUGGACUGUUCUCGCGCCACUGUGAACUCCUACAAGUGGCUCACAGUGUAUAAUUCUGAAGUUGUGAGUGCUUAUUGAGGCAAGAAGCGUAUGGAGGCUCCACCCCACAUCUUCUGUCUCUGACAACGCAUAUCAAUUCAUGCUUACUGAUAAGUAAUAAGAUUAACGUAUAAAUUCACAACUAUUUGAGAUGUCUGCGACAGACAUACAUUAUUAUUUUCAUGUUUCUGUUUUAACAGACAGGGAGAACCAGUCCAUCUUUAUCACAUGAGUUAUGUAAACAACACCUGUAAACAUAUUUUAACAAGUUUGUUUCUAUUCCCAAGUGGAGAAUCUGGUCUUUUAAAGACUGUGAACAACAGGCGUGUCAUUCAGUAAUUUGCCACAAUUUGUGGACAUGAGAAAGAAGACCAGGGAAAGUAUCAGGUAUGUUCACUAAGAACUGCAGUCCCUAACAUUAUUGCACCACCGACCUGUUUCACGUGAAGACAUAUUUAAACAGACCAGUAUAAAAAUAAACAAGAACAAAUUAUUACAAAUACAAACCACAAUUACACAAUGUAUUUGUAGGGUUAGGGGUUAGCCUUGUAUCUCUUCAACAAGUCGGUCCUUCUUUUAAAAAUAUAUUUUUUUUUUCAAAAAAACU